rnacentral:tRNA from 1 species
GCGAGCGUAACUCAAUUGUCAGAGUGCCACCUUGCCAAGGUGGAUGUUGAGGGUUCGAACCCCUUCGCUCGCACCA